rnacentral:misc_RNA from 1 species
GAUGAAGAACGCAGCGAAAUGCGAUACGUAAUGUGAAUUGCAGAAUUCAGUGAAUCAUCGAAUCUUUGAACGCAUAUUGCGCUCUCUGGUAUUCCGGAGAGCAUGCUUGUUUGAGUAUCAGUAAACACCUCAACUCCCUUUUCUUUUUUGAAAUUGGAGCUGGACUUGAGUGAUCCCAACGCUUUCUUCCAAGAAAGUGGCGGGUUGCUUGAAAUGCAGGUGCAGCUGAACUUUUCUCUGAGCUAUAAGCAUAUCUAUUUAGUCUGCCUAAAAAACAGAUUAUUACCUUUGCUGCAGCUAACAUAAAGGAGACUAGUUCUUGUGCUGACUGAUGCAGGAUUCACAGAGACAGCUUCGGCUGACUUUGUAAACUCGAUCUCAAAUCAAGUAAGACUACCCGCUGAACUUAAGCAUAUCAAUACGCGGAGGA